rnacentral:rRNA from 1 species
GACGAACGCUGGCGGCGUGCUUAACACAUGCAAGUCGAACGGGCCUGUCUUCUUUUUUGGGGGUGGGUUGAGUGGCGAACGGGUGAGUAUCACGUGAGUAACCUGCCCUUCGGUCCUGGAUAACCGCUUGAAAGGGCGGCUAAUACGGGGUGGUCCGGUUGGUCCGCAUGGGCUGGUCGGGAUAGAUUCACUGUGUUUGGUGUUUCGGCGGGGGAUGGGCUCGCGGCCUAUCAGCUUGUUGGUGGGGUGAUGGCCUAUCAAGGCGGUGACGGGUAGCCGGCCUGAGGGGGUGGGCGGCCACACUGGGACGGGGAUCCGGCCCAGGCUCCUGCGGGCGGCAGCAGUGGGGGGUAUUGCACAGGGGGCGGAAGCCUGAUGCGGCGACGUCGCGUGCGGGAAGGCGGCCUUCGGGUUGUGAGCCUCUGUUUCCGGUGGUGAAGGCCCUGUCCGUGUGGUGGGGUUGACGGUAGCCGGGGAUGAAGCGCCGGCUAACUACGUG